GAGAGAUCAUGCCAUAUGAUGAUCCAUUGAAAGAACUGGGAAUUCUUUUUGUCUGGAGAAGAGAAGACUUAAGGGUAAGAUAUAAUACCUGCCUUCAAGUAUUUGAAUAGCUGUCCCAUGGAACAGCAUUAGACCAGUUGGGUUUUGGGUGUCCAUACUACCUUUCUUUUUAUUUUCAUGCUGUUCUGCAAGGAUAGAAUGGAUGGAAAAAAGUGCAAAUCCUAGUCAUUCUCCCUGAUGGCAAGAAGUGCAACUGCAAGAAUGGAACAAGUUUUAAUCAAUUUCAAAUGUGAAGGACAACAGAUUUCUUCCCUAAAUGGUUAAAUCAUUACAGUUGUGACUGUUUUCCUUCAAACCUUAUCUUAUCUAUCCUUAGCAUAACAGUUCUUGCCACUCCCAAAAAUCUUAUCAAGAUAGAGCUUCUAAAUGAGCUAGGCAGAGGGACUAUAUCAGUGAUGUCCUUGCUCUCUGACGAAGAAUUCUAAGACACAGUCUGUCACAGAAUCCGCUUGUUAUUCGGCGAUUCCAAGGCAUUUGUGAAAGGUCCAUUGACUUCAAGCAGCAGCAGAAGACGGUCAAGAAUGUAAAGCGUCCAAGGUUUUGCCCUUCUAACUUCUGCGGAUCGGGAUGCCAAAUUUAUAUGAAAAAUGAAAGGGGAAACAUCCCCCAGGUAGCUGCUCUCCAUUGCCUCAGCUUCCUGGCCUCUGGCUGAUGAGCCUCUCUCAGGCUAAACGAAGAGAUCUGGCCUUUCUCCUGGAGUCAUUUUUUUACCUCAGUCCUCAGCUGGAUUUUCAGAUCUAAGAAAUGCCAUCUCUUUUUCUCUAGGCUUUAUGGUCUCUGUGGAAAGUGGAAACUUAAAAUUUUAUAGCUAUCACCAUAACAUGCCUGUAUAGUAACCAAGACCUAAAAGAAGUCGGAUGGCAGAUAUAAAAGAAAUUUAAUGAGAAUGGGUUUGCUUUUCUUCCUUUUUCUUUAGGAUAUAUUAGAAAUUUGUUUCAGUGGGUAAAUAAUGCAGUUAGAGAAGGUUAUUGUCACCAGGGGGGAAAAGGUUUGGUAGAGAUAAAUACCAGGUAGAAAUGUUGAAGCUCUUGUGAAAAGGGAAAAUUUUUUUUUAUUAAGUUUUUUUUUUUUUAACCAAACAAAACUGUAGUAUGAUUCAGGUUGUGAUAAUAAAGUUGUGAAUUAAUUCA
rnacentral:lncRNA from 1 species